rnacentral:rRNA from 1 species
CCUAYCUGGUUGAUCCUGCCAGUAGUGAUAURCUUGUCUAAAAGGCUAAGCCAUGCAUGUGCAAGUCCAAGCUUAGAUGUUCUUACAUUUCGGUGUGGGUUCUUCUUUGCUAAACCGCCAACGGCUCAUUAAAUCGGUCAUAGUCCAAAAGCGCUUGAUAAAGUUGUUCAUAACUUAUGGAUAACUGUGGCAAAUCCAGAGCUAAUACAUGCUACCAAAAGUCCCGAAGGUAUAUAUUGGUUUUUUCCUCUAUAUUUUCCGACGGAUGCUCUUAUUUAGAACCGAAAGAGAUUUGCUUUCUCGAUGCUUUUUAGUGUGGUGAAGGUUUUUAGUCUCUUUUAAGUGACUCUGGAUAAUGUACCACUUAGGUGCCUAGUGCGGACAACACAGUUGUUUGCGCCUGCCCUUUCGAGCGUCCGCCUUAUCAGCUAUCAAUCGAUUGUUACGUGCAACCGAUGGCAUUGACGGGUAACGGGGAAUCUGAGUUCGAUUCCGGAGAGGCAGCCUGAGAAACGGCUACCACGUCUAAGGACGGCAGCAGGCGCGCAAAUUACCCAAUCCCAGCCCGAGAGAGAGUAAGAUCAAACGGUGCUUUAGUGUGUCUUUGGUUGUAUUUGCUUUCUCUCCUAGGGUGAGGUAGUGACAAUACAUAACGAUGCGUUUGCUCCCUCGUUGGAGUUUCGCAAUCGGAAUGUAGGUGCUUGGUGAUGGAGUCCUGCUUCGGGUGGGCCCACGCCAAUGGUAAAAAAUCCUGUGAGAAUCUACUGAAGGGCAAGUCUGGUGCCAGCAGCCGCGGUAAUUCCAGCUUCAGUGGCAUCUAUUAAUGUUGCUGCGGUUAAAAGGCUCGUCGUUGGGUAUCACAAUCAAGAGACACGGGCACAAUGAGGUGUGUGUUUUUAUCAUGGGUAUAAUAUGUGCACUCUUUUGUGUAUCAUAUACAACUCUUGACUGGAAGUAUUGGCAAAGACACCGUGAACAAAUCAGAGUGCUCAAAGCAGUCUGGUGUUAACGUGAGUUUGGUUUUUUGGACAAGGUUUCUUCAAUAAGUCACUGAGACCAUACCGUUCUCUGUUUUCUACCAUUAAAUCCAUGCCUAAUGCACUCGAUAUCCACAAAAUAUGGUGUGUGUUUUGUGUGGAGACUGUCUUGAAUUUGCACGGCAAAGUCUGAAGAGGUCGUAGCUGUUGUGUGAUGCAUGGGUAUAUGUGUUCUUUUUUGGGCAUGUAUUUUCGUGUGUUGCGCAGCACAAACGAAAUGAUCAAGAGAACUUGACUCGAUGGCAUUGGUAUUGCUCGGCGAGAGGUGAAAUUCUAUGACCCUUGCAAGACCACCUGAAGCGAAAGCGUCUGCCAAGGAUGUUUUCAUUAAUCAUGAACGAAAGUCAGAGGUUCGAAGGCGAUCAGAUACCGCCCUAGUUCUGACCGUAAACGCUAACAACCAUCAAUUCGUGAGUCGCACCAACACUCGACGUAGUGCGCCGACAGUGUCCUUAACCGGGCAUUUAGGUGUGCUUCUGUCGAUGGUCGCCACGAGCAGCUCCCCACACACGGUAAACCAGAGUUUCUGGAUUCCGGGGGGAGUCUGGUUGCAAAUCUGAAACUUAAAGGAAUUGACGGAAAGGCACCACCAGGCGUGGAGCCUGCGGCUUAAUUUGACUCAACACGGGUAAUCUCACCAGGCCAACACGCUGGUACGAUUGACAGAGCGAGAGAUCUUUCUUGAUUCGGUGGAAGGUGGUGCAUGGCCGUUCUUAGUUGGUGGAGUGAUUUGUCUGGUUAAUUCCGAUAACGAACGAGACUCUCCCCUGCUAAUAACCAAAAAGAAUUGUUUUUUUAGGCAAUUUCUUUUCUAGACACGUCUGGAUCUCGAGGUAACAAAACUGUGGGUUUUUUCUGUAAAGUGAAAACACACAGCUAAGAGUCCAGAUAGUUACUUAGAAUGCUGCAGCUGCUAUGGCUCUUGUGUUUGUGUGUGGUGGUUGGUGCCGAGCUAUUUUCGGAUAGUCUUUGCCCUCAUCCGCGCAUCACAGUGUUUCUGAUCACUGGAGUAUCUUUGUGACAAAGUCUUCUUAGAGGGAUAACCGGCGUCCUAUAAAGCCGUUCGAAACCGAGAGCAAUAACAGGUCUGUGAUGCCCCUAGAUGUUCUGGGCCGCACGCGCGCUACAAUGCCGGGUUCAACAGGUCUUUUAGGGCCCAGCUUUCUAUGAGAGUUUAGGUGUGCCUCGUGCAUGUCUUUCUUUCUUGAGAGCUGCGUGCACCUUUUUCUUCUCCGUCAGAUGUUGAUUAAGGGUAAGCCUUUGAAAUCCCGCGCAGUCAAAGUUUUGUGUGUGUGGUUGUUAGUGAUAACACGACACUUACGAUUCAGAACAUAUCUAUAUUCUUUAAUAUAAAGUCUGGCUUGAUGGGGCCUGGGUCUUGAAAUUCUUACCCACAAACGAGGAAUGCCUAGUAGCAACAGAUCACUGAGUCUGUUGUGAUUCAGUCCCUGCCCUUUGUACACACCGCCCGUCGCUACUACCGAUUGGGUGCGCAAGUGAGAACCUUGGACUGGCGAGCCUUGUCUUGUCUUAGUACUUGACGAGUGUGUACGACUCGAAGAGGUUCGAACUUGUGUACCUAGAGGAAGUAAAAAUCGUAACAAGGUUUUCGUAGGUGAACCUGCGGAAGGAUCAUUA